CCUACGGGAGGCAGCAGUAGGGAAUAUUGGGCAAUGGACGGAAGUCUGACCCAGCCAUGCCGCGUGCAGGAAGAAGGCCUUCUGGGUUGUAAACUGCUUUUAUCUAGGAAGAAAACACUCUUGCGAGAGGAACUGACGGUACUAGAUGAAUAAGCACCGGCUAACUCCGUGCCAGCAGCCGCGGUAAUACGGAGGGUGCAAGCGUUGUCCGGAUUUAUUGGGUUUAAAGGGUGCGUAGGCGGCCCUGUAAGUCAGUGGUGAAAGCCUCCAGCUCAACUGGAGAACUGCCAUUGAUACUGCAGGGCUUGAGUACAGACGAGGUUGGCGGAAUUGAUGGUGUAGCGGUGAAAUGCAUAGAUACCAUCAAGAACACCGAUUGCGUAGGCAGCUAACUAGGCUGUAACUGACGCUGAGGCACGAAAGCGUGGGGAGCGAACAGG
rnacentral:rRNA from 1 species